UGCCAAGUUGUGAUUUUCAAGGGUGGUUUAAGCGCCAAGUGUCCACGAGAGUGCCACAGAGGGUAUGGCCGUAGUAUUCAAGGGCCAUGGACCACCGAAGGGCCAUUAGAGGGAAGAUAAUGUGUGCCAUGGUGCCAAGUUGUGAUUUUCAAGGGUGGUUUAAGCGCCAAGUGUCUACGAGAGUGCCACAAAGGGUAUGGCCGUAGUAUUCAAGGGCCAUGGACCACCGAAGGGCCAUUAGAGGGAAGAUACUGUGUGCCAUGGUGCCAAGUGUACGAGGGUGCCACAGAGAGUUAGGUAGACGCCCCUGCCAUGGCCUUACUCAACUAGGGCCAUGGACCACCGGAGGGCCAUUGGAGGGGAGAAAUAAUGGUCCAUAGUGCCAUAUUUUGUGAUUUUCAAGGAGUAGCUGUGAAUGGCCUCAAUGAAGAAUGCAAGAAGUCUGAACAUGAGAUACAGGAGGAGGAGGAGGAGGGCCUGAUACGACAAGAAUGUGGCUUCACCUACAGGGGAUGCAUUUGAGAUUAAGGAGUAGCUGUGAAUGGCCUCAAUGAAGAACAUGAGACACAAGCAAAGAUAGGAGGAGGAGGAAUACAUACAUAGGAAGAAUACAUAGGAAGAACAGACACCAGAAGACCUAUCGGUCUAUGGCGAGGGUGUCUGUUUAAGGAGGAGGAGAGAAGGAGGAGGGCCUGAUACAACAUGAAAGCCUUCCCAAAUGUGUGUGUGUAUUUACCUAGUUGUAUUUACCUAGUUGUAGUUUUACAGGGCCUGGGCAUUAUGCUCGUGUGGUCCCGUCUCCGUGUCUGCAUUUAUCCAACUUAUCUUUAAAGCUUUGCACACUCCUCGCUGAUACUAUAUCCUCGCUCAGACUGUUCCAAACCUCUACAUUUCUUUUAGGGAAGCUAUACUUCUUUGUGUCUCUCAAGCAUCUCCCCUUUCUCAAUUUUUUUUACUGUGUCCUCUUGUAUUUCUGCUUAUGUUUCCUUCUGUUAGUAGCAGUUCUUCAUUAUCUACUUCAUCUAUUUUGUUUAAUAAUUUAUAAAUUUGGAUUAGGUCUCCCCUUUCUCUUCUUUGUUCCAGUGUUGUUAAGUUCAUUUCCUUUAAUCUUUCCUCGUAUAUUAAUCCCUCCAACUCUGGGACCAUUUUUGAUGCCAUCCUCUGUAUUCUUUCUAGUUUCUUUAUAUGCUUCUUCUUAUGGGGGGACCACACUACCUCUGCAUAUUCUAAUUUUGGUCUAAUCAUGGUAGUGAUUAGCCUUCUCAUCAUGUCCUUGUCCAUGUAGUUAAAUGCUACUCCAAUAUUUUUCACCAAGUUAUAUGUGUCUCUAAAGAUCCGAUUUAUAUGACUCUCUGGUUGAUUAUACACUGGGUAACAAAAAAAUAUUUUUUGAAAAUCGUCCAGGGUUUUCCAGCUGAAUUAGACUAAUUUUGAUGCUCUGAGUCCGAAAAUGACCUUGGUUUUGCUCAAUCAUGUCAAGAUUUUUUGCUACAGAAUUUUUUUUAUAAUCGAUUUUUUGUAAAAAAACAAAUUUCUGUGGAUCAUCAGCUGAGAAACCCUGACGAUUUUUUCCGUUUUCCUCAAGAAAUAAAAGUCAACGUAUCCAAAUUCA